rnacentral:rRNA from 1 species
GACGGAGGAUGCAAGUGUUAUCCGGAAUCACUGGGCGUAAAGCGUCUGUAGGUGGUUCGAAAAGUCCACUGUUAAAAAUUGAAGCUUAACUUCAAAGAUGCCGUGGAAACUUUCAAACUAGAGUGUGGUAGGGGUAGAGGGAAUUUCCAGUGGAGCGGUGAAAUGCGUAGAUAUCGGGAGGAACACCGUGGUGGCAGGAAGCCGGCUCGCUGGACAGCACUG